rnacentral:lncRNA from 1 species
GGGGAGGAGGCACCAUAGAGUCCAUGCCCAACCUAAUUUUAGGCAUCUCAAAAUUUUCAAAAAAUACUCUUUGGUGUAAGGAAGAGAUCUGAUAUCUCACACACCCAAAAACACAUCAUAGAAAUUAAGAAAAAAUCAUUAGGCAUCAAAAAACCUUCUUUCUUUGAAAAAUCUCUUUCCUUCUUAUCACCUUAUCUCUAAUUCGGAUCGUAUUCGAAUUAGGCAAGA